AACAGCUUACUGAAGCAAACUCUGACACCAUUCUGAAGUAAAUCUCCAUGAUGUAUUCAUUCCAGCACCAAAUGAAAUGAAUCACAAUAAACCUAAUUUUAUUUUCA